rnacentral:rRNA from 1 species
UUAAGCGACUAAGCGUACACGGUGGAUGCCCUGGCAGUCAGAGGCGAUGAAGGACGUGCUAAUCUGCGAAAAGCGCCGGCGAGGUGAUAUGAACCUUUGACCCGGCGAUGUCCGAAUGGGGAAACCCAGUGUGUUCCGACACACUAUCGUUAACUGAAUACAUAGGUUAACGAGGCGAACCGGGGGAACUGAAACAUCUAAGUACCCCGAGGAAAAGAAAUCAACCGAGAUUCCCCCAGUAGCGGCGAGCGAACGGGGAGCAGCCCAGAGUCUGAAUCAGCUUGUGUGUUAGUGGAAGCGUCUGGAAAGUCGCACGGUACAGGGUGAAAGUCCCGUACACGAAAAUGCACAGGCUGUGAACUCGAAGAGUAGGGCGGGACACGUGGUAUCCUGUCUGAAUAUGGGGGGACCAUCCUCCAAGGCUAAAUACUCCUGACUGACCGAUAGUGAACCAGUACCGUGAGGGAAAGGCGAAAAGAACCCCGGCGAGGGGAGUGAAAAAGAACCUGAAACCGUGUACGUACAAGCAGUGGGAGCCUCUUUAUGGGGUGACUGCGUACCUUUUGUAUAAUGGGUCAGCGACUUAUAUUCUGUAGCAAGGUUAACCGUAUAGGGGAGCCGAAGGGAAACCGAGUCUUAACUGGGCGUUAAGUUGCAGGGUAUAGACCCGAAACCCGGUGAUCUAGCCAUGGGCAGGUUGAAGGUUGGGUAACACUAACUGGAGGACCGAACCGACUAAUGUUGAAAAAUUAGCGGAUGACUUGUGGCUGGGGGUGAAAGGCCAAUCAAACCGGGAGAUAGCUGGUUCUCCCCGAAAGCUAUUUAGGUAGCGCCUCGUGAACUCAUCUUCGGGGGUAGAGCACUGUUUCGGCUAGGGGGCCAUCCCGGCUUACCAACCCGAUGCAAACUACGAAUACCGAAGAAUGUUAUCACGGGAGACACACGGCGGGUGCUAACGUCCGUCGUGAAGAGGGAAACAACCCAGACCGCCAGCUAAGGUCCCAAAGUCAUGGUUAAGUGGGAAACGAUGUGGGAAGGCACAGACAGCCAGGAUGUUGGCUUAGAAGCAGCCAUCAUUUAAAGAAAGCGUAAUAGCUCACUGGUCGAGUCGGCCUGCGCGGAAGAUGUAACGGGGCUAAACCAUGCACCGAAGCUGCGGCAGCGACGCUUAUGCGUUGUUGGGUAGGGGAGCGUUCUGUAAGCCGUUGAAGGUGUCCUGUGAGGGGUGCUGGAGGUAUCAGAAGUGCGAAUGCUGACAUAAGUAACGAUAAAGCGGGUGAAAAGCCCGCUCGCCGGAAGACCAAGGGUUCCUGUCCAACGUUAAUCGGGGCAGGGUGAGUCGACCCCUAAGGCGAGGCCGAAAGGCGUAGUCGAUGGGAAACAGGUUAAUAUUCCUGUACUUGGUGUUACUGCGAAGGGGGGACGGAGAAGGCUAUGUUAGCCGGGCGACGGUUGUCCCGGUUUAAGCAUGUAGGCGGAGGUUCCAGGUAAAUCCGGUUCCUUGUUAACGCUGAGGUGUGAUGACGAGGCACUACGGUGCUGAAGUAACAAAUGCCCUGCUUCCAGGAAAAGCCUCUAAGCAUCAGGUAACACGAAAUCGUACCCCAAACCGACACAGGUGGUCAGGUAGAGAAUACCAAGGCGCUUGAGAGAACUCGGGUGAAGGAACUAGGCAAAAUGGUGCCGUAACUUCGGGAGAAGGCACGCUGAUAUGUAGGUGAAGCCCCUGCGGGUGGAGCUGAAAUCAGUCGAAGAUACCAGCUGGCUGCAACUGUUUAUUAAAAACACAGCACUGUGCAAACACGAAAGUGGACGUAUACGGUGUGACGCCUGCCCGGUGCCGGAAGGUUAAUUGAUGGGGUUAGCGGUAACGCGAAGCUCUUGAUCGAAGCCCCGGUAAACGGCGGCCGUAACUAUAACGGUCCUAAGGUAGCGAAAUUCCUUGUCGGGUAAGUUCCGACCUGCACGAAUGGCGUAAUGAUGGCCAGGCUGUCUCCACCCGAGACUCAGUGAAAUUGAACUCGCUGUGAAGAUGCAGUGUACCCGCGGCAAGACGGAAAGACCCCGUGAACCUUUACUAUAGCUUGACACUGAACACUGGUCCUUGAUGUGUAGGAUAGGUGGGAGGCUUUGAAGCGUGGACGCCAGUCUGCGUGGAGCCAACCUUGAAAUACCACCCUUUAAUGGCUGGUGUUCUAACGUAGACCCGUGAUCCGGGUUGCGGACAGUGUCUGGUGGGUAGUUUGACUGGGGCGGUCUCCUCCCAAAGAGUAACGGAGGAGCACGAAGGUUAGCUAAUCCUGGUCGGACAUCAGGAGGUUAGUGCAAUGGCAUAAGCUAGCUUGACUGCGAGAGUGACGGCUCGAGCAGGUGCGAAAGCAGGUCAUAGUGAUCCGGUGGUUCUGAAUGGAAGGGCCAUCGCUCAACGGAUAAAAGGUACUCCGGGGAUAACAGGCUGAUACCGCCCAAGAGUUCAUAUCGACGGCGGUGUUUGGCACCUCGAUGUCGGCUCAUCACAUCCUGGGGCUGAAGUAGGUCCCAAGGGUAUGGCUGUUCGCCAUUUAAAGUGGUACGCGAGCUGGGUUUAGAACGUCGUGAGACAGUUCGGUCCCUAUCUGCCGUGGGCGCUGGAGAAUUGAGGGGGGCUGCUCCUAGUACGAGAGGACCGGAGUGGACGCAUCACUGGUGUUCGGGUUGUCAUGCCAAUGGCACUGCCCGGUAGCUAAAUGCGGAAGAGAUAAGUGCUGAAAGCAUCUAAGCACGAAACUUGCCCCGAGAUGAGUUCUCCCUGAGACUUUAAGUCUCCUGAAGGAACGUUGAAGACUACGACGUUGAUAGGUCGGGUGUGUAAGCGCAGCGAUGCGUUGAGCUAACCGAUACUAAUGAACCGUGAGGCUUAACCUU